rnacentral:misc_RNA from 1 species
GUAGGUGAACCUGCGGAAGGAUCAUUAUUGAGAUAAACCUGAUGGGUUGUUGCUGGUUCUCUCGGGAGCAUGUGCACGCCUUGUCAUCUUUAUAUCUCCACCUGUGCACCUUUUGUAGACCUUACAAGGUCUAUGUUGCUUCAUUUACCCCAAUGUAUGUUGAUAGAAUGUCGUCCUAUAAAAUAUAUACAACUUUCAGCAACGGAUCUCUUGGCUCUC